rnacentral:lncRNA from 1 species
AUGUGGGGAUACUGUUCCCAAGUGUGUGUGUGUGUGGGCGGUUACUUGGCAACAGACCUGCUGACGUCCUCCUGUGCUUAUUUGAGCAGGGAAGAAGAAAGCUGGACAGGGAAGGAAGUAGAGUCACUGACCAGGAGGUGUGAGUUUUCUCUGGGUCAGGAAACUCAAGGAGAAGAAACGGCAACCCACUCCAGUAUUCUUCCCUGGACAAUCCCGUGGACAGAGGAGCCACAACUGCUGAAACUUGCAAGCUCCAGGGCCCGAGGGUCACAACUGGAGUCUGUGUGCUGCAACGAAGAUCCUGCAUGCCACAACGAAGACCCCACGCAGUCAAAUAAAUACUUUUUAAAAACAGAAAGAGUUGGUUCAAUGAAAGGACAGUGGGAAAGGGCUCUCCCUGCAGCGAUGACAGCACAGUCUGGAGCGGAAAGUUGAAGGCAGGGAGGACAGUUAGAGAUUCAGGCCUAGACGCCCUGUGGACUUGUAGGAGUGAGAGAUCUGUGGGGUUGCUUCACAUCUGGGAGGCGCACGAUCGGGUUUGUAUUUUAGAACUACCUAGCAGCCAGAUUCCAGCAGUGCUGCAGACUUGACCUUCAGGCCCACUUCUCAUCCAUUUAUCUGGCCCUGGGACUGCCCCCCGCCACCGCCCCCACCUCCCUACAAAGGCCAUUUCUUCUGUGAUUUCAAAAUCCUCGGUUCCUGCUCUUUGGAAUAUCUUUUGCCCUACUCCCACCACUGAACGCUUCAUAGUUUCACCCUUCAGUGGGACUCUGAAAUAUUGUCACCCUCCCCAAAAGUCAUCUUUUCUCUUUCCUCCUCCAGCGCACUCUUCUAAGC